CUAAAUGCGAAACCCUCUGUGGUCUAGCUUUAAUAAUAACCCUCAACACCUGUGCACCGUAUUGUCUUUGGACAAUUACUUUUAUAAACAACAGUGUAAUGAAUGUAACAUUAUUAUAACAAAAUA
rnacentral:misc_RNA from 1 species